rnacentral:rRNA from 1 species
AUUGAACGCUGGCGGCAUGCCUUACACAUGCAAGUCGAACGGUAACAGGCCGCAAGGUGCUGACGAGUGGCGAACGGGUGAGUAAUGCAUCGGAACGUGCCCAGUCGUGGGGGAUAACGCAGCGAAAGCUGCGCUAAUACCGCAUACGAUCUAUGGAUGAAAGCGGGGGACCGUAAGGCCUCGCGCGAUUGGAGCGGCCGAUGUCAGAUUAGGUAGUUGGUGGGGUAAAGGCUCACCAAGCCAACGAUCUGUAGCUGGUCUGAGAGGACGACCAGCCACACUGGGACUGAGACACGGCCCAGACUCCUACGGGAGGCAGCAGUGGGGAAUUUUGGACAAUGGGCGCAAGCCUAAUCCAGCAAUGCCGCGUGCAGGAAGAAGGCCUUCGGGUUGUAAACUGCUUUUGUACGGAACGAAACGGUCCUGGUUAAUACCUGGGGCUAAUGACGGUACCGUAAGAAUAAGCACCGGCUAACUACGUGCCAGCCGCCGCCGUAAGAC